UACGGAGGGUGCAAGCGUUAUCCGGAUUCACUGGGUUUAAAGGGUGCGUAGGAGGGCAGGUAAGUCAGUGGUGAAAUCUCCAAGCUUAACUUGGAAACUGCCGUUGAUACUAUCUGUCUUGAAUAUUGUGGAGGUGAGCGGAAUAUGUCAUGUAGCGGUGAAAUGCUUAGAUAUGAAAUAGAACACCAAUUGCGAAGGCAGCUCGCUACACAUAUAUUGACUCUGAGGCACGAAAGCGUGGGGAUCAAACAGG
rnacentral:rRNA from 1 species